rnacentral:misc_RNA from 1 species
CUCAUUGUCAGUUGAAUUCGCGAAACCAGAGCGAAACUGUUGAAUAUUAUGGUGUUGAUUAAAACAUUGACUGAAGAUUUGUACUAAAUAUAUUUAUGUUAAUCAGAUGGAUGAUCAUCGAGUUGCAAAAAGGAGUUGAACUAAUCAGCAAUUACUGACCGAAGUUUGUUCUUCUUAAGGGCGAUGCAGUCAAGACUUGUGAUGUGAUUAGACACAACAGGAGAAAGCACUGUAGAGUUUUCGACAAUAUCUCAUGCACAAGCAACGUAUCCGCUCGCUGGACCCUCAAGUUAUGUCAACGCCAGAUACGAUAUACAGUCCUUGCGCACGCGAGAAGAGGAGCACGCGAAAAAUGAAUAUUUGAAUCAAUUUUCUGCCCUGCAUCCUGAUUUAAAGGAGAGUGAAAGGCCGAUCAAAGAUCCCAACCCAUUAAAUCCACCUCAAAGUACGCGAUCAUUGGCCGAAGAUUUGUCGGAGAUUGCAUCGAUGAAAAAAAAUCUCAAUACGAAAUCGAAAAACGGGAGAGGAACUGGUAAACACAACUCCAACGUCUAUGUCACUGUCUCUGGUACUUCCAAAGAAUUAUCAACCCGCGUUUUGAACGAUGAAG